AGAGACGGGCACCCGCCCCGCCCGGAGGGCCGGACCCAUGCUUCCGGCGCCGUUGCCGGAAGCGGAAGUACCCGUUCGCUGUCCACUUCCGGGACUCCGGAGGCGGUGGCUGAGGCUGCGGCGUAGGCUUAGAGGUUCACACAGAAUACCUCUAGCAUGAACACUGUGAGGAUUCCACCUGCUUUUUGACCAUGAAGGAGACAGACCGGGAGGCCGUUGCGACAGCAGUGCAAAGGGUGGCUGGGAUGCUCCAACGCCCGGACCAGCUGGACAAGGUGGAGCAGUAUCGCAGGAGAGAAGCACGGAAGAAGGCCUCCGUGGAGGCUAGAUUGAAGGCCGCCAUCCAGUCACAGCUGGACGGGGUGCGCACAGGUCUCAGCCAGCUCCACAACGCCCUGAAUGACGUCAAAGACAUCCAGCAGUCACUGGCGGACGUCAGCAAGGACUGGAGGCAGAGCAUCAACACCAUCGAGAGCCUCAAGGAUGUCAAAGAUGCCGUGGUGCAGCACAGCCAGCUCGCCGCAGCCGUGGAGAACCUCAAGAACAUCUUCUCAGUGCCUGAGAUUGUGAGGGAGACCCAGGACCUAAUUGAACAAGGGGCACUCCUGCAAGCGCACCGGAAGCUGAUGGACCUGGAGUGCUCCCGGGACGGGCUGAUGUACGAGCAGUACCGCAUGGACAGUGGGAACACACGUGACAUGACCCUCAUCCAUGGCUACUUUGGCAGCACGCAGGGGCUCUCUGAUGAGCUGGCUAAGCAGCUGUGGAUGGUGCUGCAGAGGUCACUGGUCACUGUCCGCCGUGACCCCACCUUGCUGGUCUCAGUUGUCAGGAUCAUUGAAAGGGAAGAGAAAAUCGACAGGCGUAUACUUGACCGGAAAAAGCAAACUGGCUUUGUUCCUCCUGGGAGGCCCAAGAAUUGGAAAGAGAAAAUGUUCACCAUCUUGGAGAGGACUGUGACCACCAGAAUUGAGGGGACACAGGCAGACACCAGGGAGUCUGACAAGAUGUGGCUUGUCCGUCACCUGGAAAUUAUAAGGAAGUACGUCCUGGAUGACCUCAUUGUCGCCAAAAACCUGAUGGUUCAGUGCUUUCCUCCCCACUAUGAGAUCUUUAAGAACCUCCUGAAUAUGUACCACCAAGCCCUGAGCACGCGGAUGCAAGAGCUUGCAUCGGAAGACUUGGAAGCCAAUGAGAUCGUGAGCCUCUUGACGUGGGUCUUAAACACAUACACAAGUACGGAGAUGAUGAGGAACACGGAGCUGGCCCCGGAAGUGGAUGUCGGCACCCUGGAGCCAUUGCUUUCUGCACACGUGGUCUCUGAGCUGCUUGACACGUACAUGUCCACACUCACUUCAAACAUCAUCGCCUGGCUGCGGAAAGCACUGGAGACAGACAAGAAAGACUGGGUCAAAGAUACAGAACCGGAAGCCGACCAGGAUGGGUACUACCAGACCACACUCCCUGCCAUCGUCUUCCAGAUGUUUGAACAGAAUCUUCAAGUUGCUGCUCAGAUAAGUGAAGAUUUGAAAACAAAGGUACUAGUUUUGUGUCUUCAGCAGAUGAAUUCUUUCCUAAGCAGAUAUAAGGAUGAAGCGCAGCUGUAUAAAGAAGAGCACCUGAGGAAUCGGCAGCACCCACACUGCUACGUUCAGUAUAUGAUAGCCAUCAUCAACAACUGCCAGACCUUCAAAGAAUCCAUAGUCAGUUUAAAAAGAAAGUAUUUAAAGAAUGAAGUGGAAGAGGGCGUGUCUCUGAGCCAGCCCAGCAUGGACGGGAUUUUAGAUGCCAUCGCGAAGGAGGGCUGCAGCGGUUUGCUGGAGGAGGUCUUCCUGGACCUGGAGCAACAUCUGAAUGAAUUGAUGACGAAGAAGUGGCUGUUAGGAUCAAACGCUGUAGACAUUAUCUGUGUCACUGUGGAAGACUAUUUCAACGAUUUUGCCAAAAUUAAAAAGCCAUAUAAGAAGAGGAUGACGGCCGAGGCGCACCGGCGCGUGGUGGUGGAGUACCUGCGGGCCGUCAUGCAGAAGCGCAUCUCCUUCCGGAGCCCGGAGGAGCGCAAGGAGGGCGCGGAGAAGAUGGUGAGGGAGGCGGAGCAGCUGCGCUUCCUGUUCCGGAAGCUGGCGUCCGUGAGUGUCGCGCCGUGCCGGGUGGGGAAAGCCCGCCGCCCCGCAGCCCCGUUCAGCCUCCGCCCCGGACUUUGAGCCGGGUUUCGGGGAAGACGUGGACGGAUACUGUGACACCAUCGUGGCUGUGGCCGAAGUGAUCAAGCUGACAGACCCUUCUCUGCUCUACCUGGAAGUCUCCACUCUGGUCAGCAAGUAUCCAGACAUCAGGGACGACCACAUCGGUGCGCUGCUGGCUGUGCGUGGGGAUGCCAGCCGUGACAUGAAGCAGACCAUCAUGGAGACCCUGGAGCAGGGCCCGGCGCAGGCCAGCCCCAGCUAUGUGCCCCUCUUCAAGGACAUUGUGGUGCCCAGCCUGAACGUGGCCAAGCUGCUCAAGUAGCCUCCGCCGGCCUGCCCCGCACGCCCGUGCACAGCCCCAGUCCCUGCCCUCAGAAGCGCGGGAAAGCCGAUUGCUCUCCUUGGCCACAUGUGCUGCUUUCAGCUGCACGGCCUGUGCUUAGGCGCCAGCUUGAUACACCGGGUAUGCGUGGAGUGAGCGUCCCGAGGCCACGUGCAGAGGCCCCUCAUUGUGCUCUCAAAGCCCUGUGUGCGCAGGGCUCUGCCACAUAGCCUCUCUGGGGUGCUUGUUUGUUGCAGUGGUUGAAGGCGUGUGGGGCGCAGGGGACGUGCACCUCCGUGCCCCUCUCCUCCCUGGGCCUUCACUGCACCCCAUCUGCUGUAAGUGCUCGAAACCCUGUCACCUAAUUAAAGUUUCUCGGCUUCCUCAGAGAAAUGAAAA